ensembl:lncRNA
CGGACACUUAAGAAGCUUAAGUCAAAAAUCAAGCGUUGCAGGAUUAGUGUUAGUGUUUUUCGUAACUGUUGAGUGACAGAGUUACAUCGUUGUUGUCUUCUACUGAUUUAGGCUGCAGCUUCAAGCUGAUAGGUCGACGUCAGGUGAAUGAAUUUAUGCAGCCAAUGACUGGUCUUCUGUUCACCUGCACAUACGCACUCACGGGGACGCAGCUGGACAGGAACACACGCAGGAUUCGCCGUAAUGGCUCUGCAAAUCGCACUCGGCCGAUCACAUUGCCCUUCUGACUAGUUUUCCAAUGAGUUCACGGUUCACACCAAGGCGAAUGAGCUCUGGCGUUUGCCGAGCCCGCCGUUACACAAGAGCAGAGGACCCCAGAGCCCAUUUGAAAAGCUCAGGACGCAAACCACCUGUCUGGGCUUUCACCUGUGUUCUUGUCUCAGUUUUGCCUUUUCCACUCUGAACUGUUAUGGUUACCCUUUGGGGAAGGCAAGCUGAUCCAGGGCUUGCUUCUAGAUGGCCUCCCCACCCUGCUGAAGCUGCUGCUGGCCACACUUCUCACACGCGGUCCAGGACAUUGUGGCUUUGCUGCUUUGGUGUUCAAGGACGCGUGGAAACGGUGUCAUGUAGGUGGGCCUGUACAUCCUGGCUGUCUGUGUUUACAUUUGAAUGUUUAGGAAUUCGCCCGUACCGAAAAAGAAAUGAAUAUAUUGAAAUGUAAGGAUUAUGCUGAAAAUUCGCCUGACACUUUAAAUAUAGCCUUUGCUUGGUAAUGAUUUGUAUAACUUCCUUAUUUUGUCCUCAGGCUUUUGGGUACGCAUUUGGGUUGGAAACAAGGUUGGUGGACAUAAUACAGGGAUUAUUUAAAAAUGUAAAUAAAUCCAAGUAGAUUAUGGGUAGAAUUGACUUCUUAAACAUUUGUGGAACCUGCAUUGCCUCCAUUUUGUUGCAUCAUAAAAAUGAAAUAAUUUGCGUGUUUUCAUAUUUACUUGCUUACAGUUAGAAUUGGGGAAAACUAUUUAUGUAUAAUUUCAUCUUUACUUAAAAUUUAAAUGUACUGCAUUUCCUUUCGGUAUAGGUUGAUAGAGAAGUUAGAGUCUAAAUGAAGACGUUUUUCAGCUGGGGCAUGUUCAGGAUGGAGAUAUAUUGUAGUUUUCAAAUGUAUUGCGUGGAACAGAUUACUGCCAUCUGUAGAGGAGUUUGUGAGUUUAUGUUUGUCAUCGGUUGUGUCUGCUCAAUGUUUGUGUUUUUUCAUUGAAAUAUAAUUCAACACCAAGAUUACUAAUACUUUUACAUGUUUUUUAUGUGGUUGCUUUCAUACCCCACAAAUGGAUACAUUGUUACUUUUAUUGUUGAAAUGUGUGAUAUGGAAUGUUUGCAGUGAUUUUCUUUUUAAUUUUUUUCUUCAAAAUGGCUGCCUUUAAGGACAGCUUGACUAGAAACACACACUAUGGGUUUGAAUGAGGUCACUCAGCGGUGUGCCUCCCUUUACAUGCAAUUAUAAUGAAAGAUAAAUGAUGUCAGUAAGCUAGCACCAAGGCCCAGGUCAAUUCUAUCUCAUUUCGGUCAACGCAGGAAAUUACUUCCUGUACUGGUUCUUUCAAUGUAUAAAUAGAAUUUCACUGUGUGUACUUUGUUGUUUGAGUGCAAAUGGAAUUGACCCCGCCCCUUGUCGGUUAGCCAAUCACAGCUGCCAAUUGGCCUCCGAGGAUUGUAAUGAAACAAUCAGGUGUGAGAUGCAGGUUGUCGGAUGUGUAUGAUGCCCAUCCACUUGCCCAAUGAACAAAGGUGCUAACUCAAGCCCAUCCUAAGAUGCCCACCUAAUGUCUGCACGGUAUGAUUGUAUAUGGCGUAACUGACAUGAGGCUUCAGUUUUCACUUUUGAUCAGGAAAUGUACGUCAGUUGUGUGAGCUGCCAUUCUGUUUCUCUAUUGGUCUGUGGCGCUGAACGAUGAGCUCGAGAACCACGGAGAUCAGACAAGCCUAGUCGAUACCAAACUCCUUCUCUUCUACAUACUAUUGGUCUGAUCACAUAGGUUCAACAUUUUUUUUUUUAUCACUAGGACAUAAGGAACGGCCACAAUGUUGUAGUGGAAUACCUUAACCGCACACAACCCCUGCGGUUUAUGAGUUGGAAUGGAUUGGUUUAGCUUCUCGCUUCAAGAUUUAUAAGUUUUAUAAGCAGAAAGGAAAUUGCACAAUCCAACUCGGUUGAUUUGCUUCAAUCAAGUGGGAUCAUGAAACAUUGCUUCUGAAAUUCUGAAAAAACAAGCACCAUUGAGAAUUGUUGAAUUGUUGACGCUUGCACUAUUUGCACCAAAAAAAAAUGCCCUUAAAAUGCCAACCAAUGAUACAAAGGCCAGACGGGUAACAUGGCCGUUACUUGAUGUCAACUUGGGUUGCAAAAUUCCGCUGUAAGAAAUCCACAUCGGGGGAUUCCCGUGGCUUACUCCCAUCCGAUACCAGGAAUUCUGAAAAAACGUGCUUUAUCGUUUAGUUUUUUGUGGAAUUUUACAUCCCCAAUGUCAAUGUAGAAGAGGCCUUUCGAAAGCCUCUAGUUACAAUCUGUAGUUAGGCCUCUUGUUCUGAUGGGUUUAAUCCCAGGAUAUGGACAGCUAGUUAAAGACCUCCCCACCCCCCGGAGGUCUACCCUGGAUCACAGGCCACCAGUCGCUUAACUACUGUGAGCGUCGUUUCAGGUCGCAUUCAGUUCCAGAGCUCUGAAAGUGCCCACAUGUUACAAUUUGUGCCAUUUUUAUUUCCUUUGCCAGGCUCUUGGUCGGGCUUGCUGUGUGUGGGGAGGUUUUACUUUUUGGAGCGAUGAAGGAUUGCUGUUUCUUUACACCUUCAUUUCAUUCUGUGGCUCUGAAUGUCUGACCAUAUAUCAUCACCUGUCUGCAAUGACAUUGUGUCAACGCCCAGAGCCACUGACUUAAGGCUUAACUCUAGAAAGUGCCUGACGUGUUGAUUAUGUGUAAAAUAGGUUAACUGCCUCUCUCGCCCGUGGGAGCAUGGCACAGGAGUAAUGAUGGUUGGUGAACUAGAAUCAACCUACAGACUGACAUCUGUCUCCACCAUCCCUUCUCCUCACUUUUUCUGAGCCGUCAUAUAUAACUUCAAAGACAAAGUGUGUCUGUAAACAGCCCUUAUGCUGGAACUGCCACUUUGAGCAGGACCUUUUUUUUGUUUUGUUUUCCCCACUGGCCUGAUUUAAUUUCAUGCUGUAAUGCAGGGUUCCAUUCCAGUUUCACUCCACUCCAUUCCAUUGUUUUUAGCAGCUGUGUCUUGACACCUCAUCUUCAUUCCACUGAAGUGCUGGACUAUUCCUUCAUUGUGGUCCCUUGUUGGGUCCGCUGGUCUAACGCUUACCCAGCAUAGUGGGUAAAAUAUGGUGGGAGGAUGUGUUGCCCUGGCUAACCCCACCUACAUUGCCCUGGCUAAACCCCACCCACCCCCCUCCCACAGUCACAGUUAUGUUGUUUCCUGAUAAUUUCUGAGGACCGCUAGGUUGGCCUCAGCCUUUAAGCCUGAUUGGCUGCUGAGAGAAAUAUGACAUAAUGCCCAAGUAGAGCAUUCGUAAUGUCCCUGAUGGAGUGACAUAGCAAGGAUGGAGGAGUGGGGUUUCUUAGGGGUUUACCAGUCUAUCUAGGUCUCUCCCACCACUAAGCCUGUCUCUCUCCUCCUCCUAUUCUGCUGUUCCUUGGAGACCCUCUAAGAUGUCUCUUGUCCUUUAACUCCUGUUCUUACCCUUUUCCUCUCUUUUGCCGUCAUCUCGUGUCCCAGGGCUGGAAUGGUCUCCCCUAUAACCGCUCUCUGCCCCACUCCCUUCUGUACAUAAUGUAAGGUUAUUUAUAUUUCAUUCCUGUCUACUGCCUUGGUUUUUAUUUUAUUUUCUUGUCUUUUUUUUAUGUAGAUUAAGUUGUACUGGGACCAUUUUGAGAAGUAUUAGAUGUUUUUGUGGCUAUUUUCAAUUUGGUAUUAUUGUCUUAAGAAUAUUAUUUUAAAUUUUCAUCAAUUCAAGUGUUUUGUUAUUCAAAUAAUUUGAAUAUAUGUGUAUAUAUAAUUAUAUAUGAUAAAAUUAUAUAUAAUUAUAUAAUGCCAAAUGGCCUUUCUAAGCAAGAUACUGUUCAAACCUAAUAAAGUGCUUGAGAUUUUCUUAUCUGUGUGUUACUUGUAUAAUACAUACAGCAUUAUCCCAUGCAAUAUAAAACAGUUACUGCUCUUUAGUGGACAUUAAUACAGUUUCAGCACUAUGUACACUGCCUUCGGAAAGUAUUCAGACGCCUUCACUUUCUCGACAUUUUGUGGUAAUGACCAAAUUUUUGGUAGAUUUCAUUAUUAUAAUUUGUUUUAUCUACCUACACAAAAUAUCCUAUAAUGAUAAAGUUAAAUGUUUUGAUUUUAUUUGUGC